rnacentral:misc_RNA from 1 species
GAAAUGCGAUAAGUAAUGUGAAUUGCAGAAUUCAGUGAAUCAUCGAAUCUUUGAACGCACAUUGCGCCCGCCAGUAUUCUGGCGGGCAUGCCUGUCCGAGCGUCAUUUCAACCAUCAAGCCCCCGGGCUUGUGUUGGGGACCUGCGGCUGCCCGCAGGCCCUGAAAACCAGUGGCGGGCUCGCUGUCACACCGAGCGUAGUAGCAAUCACCUCGCUCAGGGCGUGCUGCGGGUUCCGGCCGUUAAACAGCCUUACAAAACCCAGGGUUGACCUCGGAUCAGGUAGGAAGACCCGCUGAACUUAAGC